GGGGUGGAGAAGCUCCCAAGGGUCCGUCUGUUCGCCGGUUAAAGUGGUACGUGAGCUGGGUUCAGAACGUAAAUUACAUUGCGUUCUAUCGCAGAAAUGCGAUACAAUAAAUCUGACUAAUAUCGGUGAAACCCUACUUAAGUUUUCGAACUGUUUAAGAGGGCAAUACCGAGGGAAGAUCAGGUUUGUGUCAAAUGAAGAAUUAGCCUACAUCGCGGGUUUUCUCGAUGGUGAUGGAUGUAUUAUGGCGCAACUGGUUCGUCGUAAAGAUUAUAUUUACGGUUACCAAGUGCGAACAAGCGUAGUCUUCUAUCAAAAACAAAAUCAUCAGGAAAUCCUCCAUUGGCUUAAGGCGAAGCUGAACUAUGGUUAUAUUCGCAACCGAAAUGACGGUAUGUCGGAAUACACAAUAGUCGGUUUUAAAGAAGUGUCUGAAAUAUUGGAGCUUCUUCGCCCUUAUCUUCGUUUAAAGAAAACUCUGGCGAAUCGCAUGCUAGAGCUCAUUAGGAGUCAUCCUGGAAAAAGAAUGAUGACCCCAUCUGAGCUUAUUCGAGUAAGUGAGCUGGUUGAUGAAACCGCAAAAUUCACCUAUUCAAAAAAAAGAACUAAUACGUGCGAUACUAUCAGAGCUUUUUUGAAAGACGCGAAUCUUUUCCCCGUAGAGACUGAGCUUGCUGAAUAGCAAGCCGAUAGUUCCGAGCAAUCGGUUCUAUAAUACGUCGGCCCCUCCCCGAUAAAAUCGGAAGGGUGAAGAUAUAGUCCAUGCCAUCAGUAAUGAUGGGUUAACAUGCGUGAGACAGUUCGGUCUCUAUCUGCUGCGGGCGUAGGAAAUUUGAAGGGAGCAUUCCCUAGUACGAGAGGACCGGGAAUGACCGAUCUCUGGUGUUCCAGCCGUGCCGCCAGGUGCGUAAGCUGGGUAGCUAUAUCGGGAAAGGAUAAGUACUGAAAGCAUCUAAGUACCAAGCCCCCCCUAAGAUAAGAUUUCCCUCCGGGUUUAUCCCGGCUAAAGACUCCAUGUAGAUCACGUGGUUGAUAGGCCAGAUGUGUAAGGGCGGUAACGCCUUCAGCUUACUGGUACUAAUAAGUCGUGAGGCUUGACCUA
rnacentral:ncRNA from 1 species